AACUUCUGAAUGUUGACCUCGGAUCAGGUAGGAAUACCCGCUGAACUUAAGCAUAUCAAUAAGCGGAGGAAAAGAAACCAACAGGGAUUGCCCUAGUAACGGCGAGUGAAGCGGCAACAGCUCAAAUUUGAAAUCUGGCUUUCGGGCCCGAGUUGUAAUUUGUAGAGGAUACUUUUGAUGCGGUGCCUUCCGAGUUCCCUGGAACGGGACGCCAUAGAGGGUGAGAGCCCCGUCUGGUUGGAUGCCAAAUCUCUGUAAAGUUCCUUCGACGAGUCGAGUAGUUUGGGAAUGCUGCUCUAAAUGGGAGGUAUAUGUCUUCUAAAGCUAAAUAUUGGCCAGAGACCGAUAGCGCACAAGUAGAGUGAUCGAAAGAUGAAAAGCACUUUGAAAAGAGAGUUAAAAAGUACGUGAAAUUGUUGAAAGGGAAGCGUUUAUGACCAGACUUGGACUUGGUUAAUCAUCUGGGGUUCUCCCCAGUGCACUUUUCCAG
rnacentral:rRNA from 1 species